rnacentral:rRNA from 1 species
GGGAGGCGUAUACAUGCAGUCGAGCGAGCUUGCCUAGAUGAUUUUAGUGCUUGCACUAAAUGAAACUAGAUACAAGCGAGCGGCGGACGGGUGAGUAACACGUGGGUAACCUGCCCAAGAGACUGGGAUAACACCUGGAAACAGAUGCUAAUACCGGAUAACAACACUAGACGCAUGUCUAGAGUUUGAAAGAUGGUUCUGCUAUCACUCUUGGAUGGACCUGCGGUGCAUUAGCUAGUUGGUAAGGUAACGGCUUACCAAGGCAAUGAUGCAUAGCCGAGUUGAGAGACUGAUCGGCCACAUUGGGACUGAGACACGGCCCAAACUCCUACGGGAGGCAGCAGUAGGGAAUCUUCCACAAUGGACGAAAGUCUGAUGGAGCAACGCCGCGUGAGUGAAGAAGGGUUUCGGCUCGUAAAGCUCUGUUGGUAGUGAAGAAAGAUAGAGGUAGUAACUGGCCUUUAUUUGACGGUAAUUACUUAGAAAGUCACGGCUAACUACGUGCCAGCAGCCGCGGUAAUACGUAGGUGGCAAGCGUUGUCCGGAUUUAUUGGGCGUAAAGCGAGUGCAGGCGGUUCAAUAAGUCUGAUGUGAAAGCCUUCGGCUCAACCGGAGAAUUGCAUCAGAAACUGUUGAACUUGAGUGCAGAAGAGGAGAGUGGAACUCCAUGUGUAGCGGUGGAAUGCGUAGAUAUAUGGAAGAACACCAGUGGCGAAGGCGGCUCUCUGGUCUGCAACUGACGCUGAGGCU